rnacentral:rRNA from 1 species
GAUGAACGCUGGCGGCGUGCCUAAUACAUGCAAGUCGAGCGAACGGACGAGAAGCUUGCUUCUCUGAUGUUAGCGGCGGACGGGUGAGUAACACGUGGAUAACCUACCUAUAAGACUGGGAUAACUUCGGGAAACCGGAGCUAAUACCGGAUAAUAUUUUGAACCGCAUGGUUCAAAAGUGAAAGACGGUCUUGCUGUCACUUAUAGAUGGAUCCGCGCUGCAUUAGCUAGUUGGUAAGGUAACGGCUUACCAAGGCAACGAUGCAUAGCCGACCUGAGAGGGUGAUCGGCCACACUGGAACUGAGACACGGUCCAGACUCCUACGGGAGGCAGCAGUAGGGAAUCUUCCGCAAUGGGCGAAAGCCUGACGGAGCAACGCCGCGUGGGGGAUGAAGGUCUUCGGAUCGUAAAACUCUGUUAUUAGGGAAGAACAUAUGUGUAAGUAACUGUGCACAUCUUGACGGUACCUAAUCAGAAAGCCACGGCUAACUACGUG